rnacentral:rRNA from 1 species
GGGACACGUGGUAUCCUGUCUGAAUAUGGGGGGACCAUCCUCCAAGGCUAAAUACUCCUGACUGACCGAUAGUGAACCAGUACCGUGAGGGAAAGGCGAAAAGAACCCCGGCGAGGGGAGUGAAAAAGAACCUGAAACCGUGUACGUACAAGCAGUGGGAGCACCUUCGGGUGUGACUGCGUACCUUUUGUAUAAUGGGUCAGCGACUUAUAUUCUGUAGCAAGGUUAACCGUAUAGGGGAGCCGCAGGGAAACCGAGUCUUAACUGGGCGUUAAGUUGCAGGGUAUAGACCCGAAACCCGGUGAUCUAGCCAUGGGCAGGUUGAAGGUUGGGUAACACUAACUGGAGGACCGAACCGACUAAUGUUGAAAAAUUAGCGGAUGACUUGUGGCUGGGGGUGAAAGGCCAAUCAAACCGGGAGAUAGCUGGUUCUCCCCGAAAGCUAUUUAGGUAGCGCCUCGUGAAUUCAUCUUCGGGGGUAGAGCACUGUUUCGGCUAGGGGGUCAUCCCGACUUACCAACCCGAUGCAAACUACGAAUACCGAAGAAUGUUAUCACGGGAGACACACGGCGGGUGCUAACGUCCGUCGUGAAGAGGGAAACAACCCAGACCGCCAGCUAAGGUCCCAAAGUCAUGGUUAAGUGGGAAACGAUGUGGGAAGGCACAGACAGCCAGGAUGUUGGCUUAGAAGCAGCCAUCAUUUAAAGAAAGCGUAAUAGCUCACUGGUCGAGUCGGCCUGCGCGGAAGAUGUAACGGGGCUAAACCAUGCACCGAAGCUGCGGCAGCGACACUAUGUGUUGUUGGGUAGGGGAGCGUUCUGUAAGCCUGCGAAGGUGACCUGUGAGGGUUGCUGGAGGUAUCA